UCUUGGCGAAUGACAAUGUUUGCUUCAACCACAAAGCAAGUAAGACAUGCGAAGAAGUGCAGGAAUAGAGACCUUAGCUGUAAAAGCUAAAAGCAUUUCUCCACACAAGCUUGAUGCUGGAUUCUCAGAACUCAGUGUAGAGGACAGAGCUAACUUGUGGGAGUCACCUGUCUCCACACAUGGGCACCGUGGUCAUAUGCACCCACAAAACAAUGUAAAAAGACAGACAUGUGGGAACAGAAUAGCUUUUUGUUUCUUUGGGAGGUUUUUGGGUUUGGGUGGUGGUGGUGUGUUUUGUCAGUUUGUUUGUCCUGGCUGACCUUGAACUCGAUCUGUAGGUCAGGUCAGCCUCGAACUGGAUGUUCUGCCAGCUUCGGUCACCUGUCUGUCUCCUGGAGUGCUGGAAUUAACACCUGGUGGCUGUCAUGUGCACGUUUGUCUGAAUUCACAGAACUGUGCGCUAAGGAAAGGUGAAUAUCACUGGCCUAAGUGAUAUCUCAAUGAACAACCUUAUGAGACAGAUUGAGGGCCAGGCCGAUGGUUUCAUUCCAGAAGGAGGAAAAUAGAUAUGGGUGUUUACCUAAGGCACAGGCACACACAAGAUUUACAAAUGAAACUCAGUGAAUCAGUAAAGGAGGACGUUAACCAAUAAAACCAUUCUCUUGGACACAAGGACUCAAAGCCACCAAGGUGACAGACUCCAGGGGUGUGUAUAGCUAAGAGGCUUCCGUAGGGUCUUGCAGGGCUGUGGGGUUGAAGGUCGGCCAGGGGGCGUGGCCUCGGCGAUCUCUUCGAAAGCCGGGCUGAGGGGAAUCCUGGACAGGGAAUCCUGGACGUGGAGAUCGUGAGUCAUGGCUGCUUCCCGAGACGCUGAUGAGAUCCACAAGGACGUUCAGAACUACUAUGGGAAUGUACUGAAGACAUCUGCAGACCUCCAGACUAAUGCUUGUGUCACGCGAGCCAAGCCGGUCCCCAGCUACAUCCGGGAAAGUCUGCAGAAUGUACACGAAGACGUUAGUUCGAGGUAUUAUGGCUGUGGUCUGACUGUUCCUGAGCGGCUGGAAAACUGCCGAAUUUUGGAUCUGGGUAGUGGGAGUGGCAGGGAUUGCUAUGUGCUUAGCCAGCUGGUUGGUGAGAAGGGACAUGUCACCGGAAUAGACAUGACUGAGGUCCAGGUCGAAGUGGCUAAAACCUAUCUUGAACACCACAUGGAAAAAUUUGGUUUCCAGGCACCCAAUGUGACUUUUCUCCACGGCCGCAUCGAGAAGUUGGCAGAGGCUGGGAUCCAGAGUGAGAGCUAUGAUAUUGUCAUAUCCAACUGUGUUAUCAACCUUGUUCCUGAUAAACAACAAGUCCUCCAGGAGGUCUAUCGAGUGCUGAAGCACGGCGGGGAGCUCUAUUUCAGUGACGUCUAUGCCAGCCUUGAAGUGCCAGAAGACAUCAAGUCGCACAAAGUUUUAUGGGGGGAAUGCCUGGGAGGCGCUCUGUACUGGAAGGAUCUUGCCAUCAUUGCCCAAAAGAUUGGGUUCUGCCCUCCACGUUUGGUCACUGCCGAUAUCAUUACUGUUGAAAACAAGGAGCUCGAAGGGGUUCUUGGUGACUGUCGCUUUGUGUCUGCCACAUUUCGCCUCUUCAAACUCCCUAAGACAGAGCCAGCCGAAAGAUGCCGAGUUGUUUACAAUGGAGGAAUCAAGGGACAUGAAAAGGAACUAAUUUUCGAUGCAAAUUUCACAUUCAAGGAAGGCGAAGCUGUUGCAGUGGAUGAGGAGACGGCAGCUGUCCUGAAGAACUCACGUUUUGCUCCGGAUUUUCUCUUCACACCUGUUGACGCCUCGCUGCCAGCUCCCCAGGGCCGUUCUGAGUUAGAGACAAAGGGUCACUGAACUUGCAGCUCACGGUGUCAGCCAGGCUGGAUGACCGGUGAGCUCCAGGGAUUCUCCUGUCCCUACCGUCCCCAGUGUUGCAGUCACAGGUUCUAAUCAGAGAUCCAUUCAAGCUUGCAGAGGACUCUGACAAGAUGAAGCCCAGACAUGCACCUGAAGGCACGGGAGGCUGCUGUGGCAAGAGGAAAAACUGCUAGAUCUACAGCCAGCGCGGAGCCCACCGGGCUCAAGAGGGUGGCUAAAGGACAGUCACAGAGGCUUCUUAGCCUGCUCUUCGCCAGUGCACAGAUUAUGUGAAGGUGGCAAAGCCACCACAAGCUAGACCACUGCUAAGAAUAAGAGUGACUUUUAGAGGAUGUUAAUUGAAGGUUCACAGCAAAUCGCCUGCUUUUCUAUUUCUCUAUCUCAGAGUUCUGGUGCCACCUAGUGGUCAGAAGUAGAACUUGGAAGCCCAAGGUUUACUCAAAGGGCCAAAGGCAUCAUCAACGUUGUGAGAAUUAUCUUCCUUCUGGCCUACCACAGGACACCUCUGGGUUCUUCUCUGUGGUUACCAGGAAGCACAGUACUUACUAAAUUUAUGCUAACCAUGACAAAAGAUUGUCAACUCAAAUUUGCUAGGAGUAUUCUUUAGGUUGCUGUCUGCAAUUUUUUUCUCUGUAACUGAAUGAAAAAGAAAACAAAUAAAAAAUAAAUUUGACUUCAGUUCACCUUGAUAAUUGAUACCACAA